rnacentral:rRNA from 1 species
UACGUAGGCAGAAAGCGUUGUUCGGAAUUACUGGGCGUAAAGAGUGUGUAGGCGGUGCUCUAAGUCUGUUGUGAAAUCUCCCGGCUUAACUGGGAGGGUGCGGCGGAGACUGGAGUGCUAGAGUGUGGGAGAGGUAAGCGGAAUUCCUGGUGUAGCGGUGAAAUUCGUAGAUAUUCGCAAGAACACCAGUGGCGAAGGCGGCUCACUGGCCCGGUACUGACGCUGAGGCACGAAAGCGUGGGGAGCAAACAGG